AUACUUACCUGACAGGGGAGAUACCGUGAUGACGAAGGUGGUUUUCCAGGGCCAGGCUUAUCUAUUGCAUUCCAGAUGUGCUGACUCCUGCGAUUUCCCCAAAUGUGGGAAACUCGACUGCAUAAUUUCUGGUAGUGGGGGACUAUGUUCAUGCUCUCCCC
ensembl:snRNA U1 U1 spliceosomal RNA